rnacentral:rRNA from 1 species
UAGUAACGGCGAGUGAAGCGGCAACAGCUCAAAUUUGAAAUCUGGCUUCGGCCCGAGUUGUAAUUUGCAGAGGAAGCUUUAGGCGCGGCACCUUCUGAGUCCCCUGGAACGGGGCGCCAUAGAGGGUGAGAGCCCCGUAUAGUUGGAUGCCUAGCCUGUGUAAAGCUCCUUCGACGAGUCGAGUAGUUUGGGAAUGCUGCUCAAAAUGGGAGGUAAAUUUCUUCUAAAGCUAAAUACCGGCCAGAGACCGAUAGCGCACAAGUAGAGUGAUCGAAAGAUGAAAAGCACUUUGAAAAGAGGGUUAAAUAGCACGUGAAAUUGUUGAAAGGGAAGCGCUUGUGACCAGACUUGCGCCGGGCGGAUCAUCCGGUGUUCUCACCGGUGCACUCCGCCCGGCUCAGGCCAGCAUCGGUUCUCGCGGGGGGAUAAAGGCAUCGGGAACGUGGCUCCUCCGGGAGUGUUAUAGCCCGUUGCGUAAUGCCCUCGCGGGGACCGAGGUUCGCGCAUCU